UGAAUACGAGACGCUAAGGCGUCGAAGUAGUGUAUGUCAUACUUCCAAGAAAAGCUUGCACUGUCAUAGAUAAAAAACGCCUGUACCAUAACCGACACAGGUGGGUAGGUAGAGUAUACUAAGGGGCGCGAGAUAACUCUCUCUAAGGAACUCGGCAAAAUAACUCCGUAACUUCGGGAGAAGGAGUGCCUUAUUCGUAAGGUUGCAAUAACAAGAUCCAAGCAACUGUUUAUCAAAAACACAGGUCUCCGCUAAGUCGUAAGACGAUGUAUGGGGGCUGACGCCUGCCCAGUGCCAGAAGGUUAAAGAAGUUGGUUAGCAUUUGCGAAGCUAGUGACUGAAGCCCUGGUGAACGGCGGCCGUAACAAUAACGGUCCUAAGGUAGCGAAAUUCCUUGUCGGGUAAGUUCCGACCCGCACGAAAGGCGUAAUGAUUUGGAUACUGUCUCGGAGAGGGGCUCGGUGAAAUAGACUUGUCUGUGAAGAUGCGGACUACCUGCACCAGGACAGAAAGACCCUAUGAAGCUUUACUGUAACUUGAAAUUGAAAUUGGACUUUAUUCGCGCAGUAUAGGUGGGAGGCGUUGAUUAUAAUCUUGCGGGAUUAUUGGAGCCAUCAGUGAGAUACCACUCUUGUAAUGUUAGAUUUCUAACUUUGAAUCAUUAUCUGGUCAAAGGACAGUUUCAGGCGGGCAGUUUGACUGGGGCGGUCGCCUCCCAAACGGUAACGGAGGCGUACAAAGGUUUCCUCUGAACGGUUAGAAAUCGUAUCUAGAGUGUAAAGGCAUAAGGAAGCUUGACUGUGAGACCUACAAGUCGAGCAGGGACGAAAGUCGGUCUUAGUGAUCUGACGGUACUGAGUGGAAAGGCCGUCACUCAACGGAUAAAAGUUACUCUAAGGAUAACAGGCUGAUCUCCCCCAAGAGUUCACAUCGACGGGGAGGUUUGGCACCUCGAUGUCGGCUCAUCGCAUCCUGGGGCGGUAGUACGUCCCAAGGGUUGGGCUGUUCGCCCAUGAAAGCGGUACGCGAGCUGGGUUCAGAACGUCGUGAGACAGUUCGGUCCAUAUCCGGUGUAGGCGUUAGAAUAUUGAGAGGAGCCUUCUUUAGUACGAGAGGACCGAGAAGGACAUACCUCUGGUGUACCAGUUAUCGUGCCAACGGUAAACGCUGGGUAGCUAUGUAUGGAGUGGAUAACCGCUGAAAGCAUCUAAGUGGGAAGCCCACCUCAAGAUAAGUAUUCUCAUC
rnacentral:rRNA from 1 species